AUUGACCAAAGUGCGAGGAUGGUACACUUCGGAAAGUCUGAAGGUGUUAAAAUGAGUAAAAGUGAGUUAAAGAAGGUUUUCGAGAGCUAGAGAGUUAAAUUCUGCAAAACUGCAGAUUUUCAGCUCUCGGGGACCGGUCCCUGGUGGGAGAGACCGGUCCCCGAACGCGUGCAGAAUGAGACAGCCGAAAAAUCGGCUAAGUCCUGGAAGGACAGCUCUCGGGAACCGAUCUCUGUUUGAGAGACCGGUCCCACAGAGACCGGUCCCACAAGGAGAGAUCGGACCCAUCGCGCGCAGCAGUUCUGGCUGCGCUGGGAGAGCUCUCGGAGACCGGUCCCUAGUCGGGGAGACCGGUCCCCGAGCCCGAAAUCUGCCCAGUCCAGGCAGUGCACAGAGUUGAAAGUUGAGGGGUUUAGCUGCAAUUGUGCAACCCAAUAGCUAUGUAUUGAGGGUUAAUGAGAUUUUCUCUCAUUUCCUCACCCUCACACACUCUCUUCUCUCUCUCUCUCUAGAAGACAAAAGAGAAGAAGAAGAAAGGAAGAAAAGAAGGAGAAGAAGAGGAAGAAAGUGGAGAAGAAGAAGAAGAAGUGAAGAAACUCCUUCUCCUUCAUCUCUAGCUUGAAGAAAAGGAAAGCUUUGAGGUAAGCUUUGAUCCCAAGUGAAGUAAAACCCUAGAAUGGGUUUAAAUGAACCUAGAAAUGGAUUUUAUGAAGCUUUUAGAGUCUUUUGAAGCUUUCUGUUGCUUCUUUAGAGAUCAAAUCCAUGGUUGAGCUCAAGGUGAGCUUCAACCCACCUCUAAUGGUGAAAUCCGAACUAGGGUUUUGGAAAGCCUAAGAACGGUUCUAAUGGACUAUUUAGAGUAUAAUAAAGCUACUUUUGCUUCCCAAUGAGAUCAAACCCUAGGUUUGGUAUGUGUAUUGAAGCUAGGGCACCAAAUUGGGGCUUUUGCUCAUGAGGGUUUCUAAGUGCAAUUGACCCUCUAAAAAUCUAAUUGGGGGUAUUCCCGACGCAUUGGUGCGCUCGGAAAAGCAUUACGAAAAGUGUAUGUAGAGUUAUGGGCAAAAUGGCCUAAUAGGGCUUCGUUUUGCCGCAGGUAAAGAACGAAGGAUCUAAAAAUCUCAAGAAAAUCGUCGGAGCACCUAAAUAGACCUACGAGGUGGGUGGUGCUUCUCAAACUCAUUAAAAUUCUCUCUAUGCCUAAUGUGUCA
rnacentral:lncRNA from 1 species